UUGAAGCACUGCAAUCUAUCAUGAGAUAACACAAAAACCAAUAGGGUUAUUCAUGUCAAAUCCAGCACAGUGCAUCCUGAGAUGCUUUUGAGGUUGAGUGGAGAGUUUAUUUGUUCCCCACACAAAUAAAUCACAUGGCUUCAGAAGACUUGAAAUAUAGUGCAUGAGUCACAUGGACUACUUUUGAGAAUAGAUUUCACCUUGAUUGGUUGUAACUCAUGAAUGCUUUGGAAUAGAGAGCUAAGGUUGGUUCUUUUUAAAGAGACACUCAACAGAGAAGUGAAAACAUCAAAAAAUGUAAAUGCACAAAAGGUUAUAGAAGUUUAAGUUUACUGUAAAGCAAACAUACUGCACUAAACAUGUUUUAUUUGAUAUAAAAUACAUAUUUUACAAAAUAAUUUGGACUCUAAAAUAGCUACAAAAAUCAAAACCAUAUGUCUACCAAGUUGUGUUUUAAAUUUGAAGUUAAUAUCACAAAAAUUGAGCUACUAACAGGUUUUUAAGUGCCCUUUCAAAGGUAACACAACUUCAAAACGGUUUUCACAUGAUGAAUUUUGACAAUUUAUAAUGAAUUUUGAGUGCUUAAGCUUUCGAAUGACACCUAAUUUAUAAUCAUUUACUGUAAAUCAAAUGUACUGAAUAAACAUGUUGUAUUUUAUACUAUAUAUAUAUUAUAAACUCAUUUGGACUCUAAAAAAAUAUGAAAAUAUAAGAAAAUAGGUCUAACCAAGUUGUGUUCCAAAUUUGAAGAUGAUAUCACAAAAAUUGAGCCACUAAAAGGUUUUAAAGUACCGUUUCAAAGGUAAUGCAACUUCAAAACGGUUUUUCACAGGAUGAUUUUUGAGCGUUUAAGCUUUCGAAUGACACCUAAUUAUAAUCAAUUAACGUAAAGCAAAUGUACUGAACUAAUGUUGUAUUUUAUAUAAAAAUAUAUAUUCUACAAAAUCAUUUGGACUAAAAAAUCAAAGUCGUAUUGUGUUCCAAAUUUGAAGUUGACAUCACAAAAAUUGAGCUACUAAUAGGUUUUAAUACCGUUUCAAAGGUAACGCAAUGUCCAGUUUUUUCACAGGAUAAAUUUAGAGUGUUUAAAGAGAUACAGUAGUUCACCCAAAAAUUAAAAUUAUUCCAUGAUAUUCUCACCCUCAAGCCAUCCUAGCUGUAUAUGACUCCAGGGGCUUAAUAAAGGCCUUUUGUAGCAAAUUGAUGCAUUUUUGCAAGAAAAAUAUCCAUAUUUAAAACUUUAUAAAUUAAAAUAAGGAGCUUCCAGCACGACAGCCAUUCGACGUACAUCCAAAAAGUGUUAACUUCCGCGACGUAGUACACAAUGAUAUGACGUUUUACACUACGUCAUGACGUACUACGCUAGUAGUAAACCUUGGAGAACUAAGGACAUUUUUAAAUAUAUCUCCGAUUGUGUUCGUAUGAAAGAAGAUAGUCAUAUACACCUGGAUGGCUUGAGGGUGAGUAAAGCUGGAUAAUUUUCAUUUUUGGGUGAACUAUCAUUUUAAGCUUACAAAUGAUACCUAAUUUAUGAUAAAUACUAAAAUAUGUGAUCUCUCUCUCUCUCUGUCUCUCUCAACAUGUUUAAUGUAUGCUUCAUGGCCAUUGUAGACUAAUAUUCUUCUUGUUUUCUACAGAAGAAAGAAAGUCAUAGAGGUUUGGAGUGACAUGAGGACAAAAUGGUCAUUUUUGGCAGAACUAUCCCUUUAAAGUAGUUUUGUAGGUUUGUGGGCAUCUGGGCGGUUGCUAAUCAGAGAUGUCAGACUUUGCAGCAAUCAUCAUCGACGUCCCCAUCAUCAAACGCUCGCAGAGCUGCAUUUCUCAGCUGUAGAAACCACAUCCAAGACGGGUUGCUAUGGUGUAAGGGUCUUUAGCGAUGCUCUACUGACGUGGAAACACGCCGACGGCAUUGCUUAGUUUUGAAGUUCUAACGAAAAGGCAUUUUAACUAGAGAGCUUGUUAUGGACACCAGUAGCUUUAUUGUUUAGACUUCUCCUUUCAACGUCAGUUUUUAACUCUCAAACUAAGACUUUUCUCCUGUUUUUAGCUGAUUCACAUCUCACAGCCUUUCUCAGCAGAUUCACAACCCACAAAAAAGGCACCAAAAUUCAAUCCCAGGUGCCUUUGAGCUCAGUGAGGACGCCAACCUGUGAAUUAAUCAGUAGUUUGAUGCAUCCAUUAUAAAUGACUUGGUGGAAGCAACUAAAGCAUAAUUGCAUGAUAAUUGGGGCUCGAGGAGGAGGAGGAGAAGCUCUUCAGACGCGCCGCAACCGUUUCCUCUGAAGUCUGACUGUGUGAGGUCACUUCCUGUGUUGGGGAUGCCAGCGGUCUAUAUAAACCCUGAGAACUGACCAUCUGUCACUCAAGCAUCUGCAGACAGCAGGAGAACAGACGGCAGCCUCACUGUCCAAGAGCGAGACGAUCUCAAGGAGUUUAUGAGUUUGCAGAUGAUGUUGAAGACGCAAAGAUCUCAGCAGCGCGUCGCUUUCAUGAUACUGAUGGUGGUUGCAGCCGUACAGUGUCAGGAGAAUGAGAGCAGACGGGCGGUCACGGAGCAUCAGUUGAUGCAUGAUCGCGGUCGCUCCAUUCAGAGCCUGAAGAGACUGAUCUGGCUGUCCAGUGCGAUCGAGGGGCUUCACACCGCACAGACCCGCACACUGACCACCGACGAGCCGGACAGCAGGUGGCGCUUUCGCGGUCCUCAGC